rnacentral:rRNA from 1 species
GACGAACGCUGGCGGCGUGCCUAAUACAUGCAAGUCGAACGAGAGCGAUCGGUGCUUGCACUGGUCAAUCUAGUGGCGAACGGGUGAGUAACACGUGGGUAACCUGCCCAUCAGAGGGGGAUAACAUUCGGAAACGAAUGCUAAAACCGCAUAGGUCUUCGAACCGCAUGGUUUGAAGAGGAAAAGAGGCGCAAGCUUCUACUGAUGGAUGGACCCGCGGUGCAUUAGCUAGUUGGUGAGGUAACGGCUCACCAAGGCCGUGAUGCAUAGCCGACCUGAGAGGGUGAUCGGCCACAUUGGGACUGAGACACGGCCCAAACUCCUACGGGAGGCAGCAGUAGGGAAUCUUCCGCAAUGGACGCAAGUCUGACGGAGCAACGCCGCGUGAGUGAAGAAGGUUUUCGGAUCGUAAAACUCUGUUGUUAGAGAAGAACAAGUGCUAGAGUAACUGUUAGCGCCUUGACUUAUCUAACCAGA